CUCUGCUAUAAAAUAGAAGCUGUCGACAAUAAUCAAGUAAUUGUAAGUCAACUCUGGAAAUAGAAUCCUGUAUUAUCUUACUAGCUUGCUUGCUGCAGUAGACUUCUUUGCUUUAUUAACUAUCGGUUGCUGAUGAACCACAAUUAAGGAUGCCAUCCCAUAAGAGACGAUAUCUGCUGAGGGAUCAAAAAGACUUUUCUGGAAACUGAAAUUAUUAAACUGAAUACAUGUAGAGACUUCAAGGUCCUCUCCCUUCGUCCUGGAGGUCCUCUUGCGUAACUGCCCAUCACGCAAAUGAACAACUUGACAAUCGCGUGGACCAAUCAAGUCGCCGGCGGAGCCAUUGGACACGGCUCA